rnacentral:other from 2 species
GGAAAUCUGUAAUGUACGCGUCGUUUCACUUCUGUGUUGACCGAACAUUUUUAGUAUUAUAUCGGGAUUCAAACUGAUUAAAAAGAAAACAAGCCUUUUCACUUGGAAGUUUGACGUUUAUUCUAUGAAACCCACCUGCAUUACUGGCGGGUUCAAUACUACGAAUCGACUAACGGCAUGGACGGAUUUCUU